CAUGUAACAUUACUCUUACUUUGAAGGAUUAAAAAAAACUUGCCCCGGAAGUUCUUCAUUACUGUUGGCUUCACUGGGGGACGGAACACAACACGCGCUAGCUAGCCAUUGGCAUUAUAUGAAAAAAUGUCUAAAUUGGAGUUGUUGAGAGUGAUUUUUAACCAACGAUGUACAGGCGCUGCAGAUGAGAUAUUCAGAGCCGUUGCAAAAACGAUAUCAGAGUACCAGGACAACGUUAAUCUAUCGAAAGAGGACAACGGUCGUCUACAGGGGCUGCUUGAUGUCAUCCUGAAACCUGAGAUAAAGUUGUAUAGAGCAGACUUUGAGCAGUUCAUUGUCUCUGAAGUGGAGUUUCCCCCUGAGCAGCAGCACUUUAAACAAGAGUGGAGCCCCGAUUUGGGGCAAGAUGACUUGAACCCCAUACAGAUUAAAGAGGAACAGGAGGAAUGCAGGAUCAUCCAGGAGGAGGAAGACUCUGUAUUCACUCCUGCCUGGGUGAAAAGUGACUAUGAUCAGUACUCAACUCAGUCCUCACAAACCCAAAGUGAAGAGUACAAAGACAGAACAAAAUUUAAGGAAGUGGAUUCUUCAAAACCAACCAGUGGCUCUCGGCCCCAGCCCGAAUCAAGGAGGACACAGACAGAAAAGGGAAAAAGCUUUAUCAGCUCCAAGGGUAGAAAAUCAAUGGAUCUGAAAUCACCAGUGCAAAGGAGGCGUCACACAGAAGAUAAAUCAUUUUGCUGUAGUGAUUGUGGUGAACGUUUCACUCAGAUGGGAAGACUGAAUUCUCAUAGGAUCAUGAUACACUCCAGAGGUAAUAAGUUUCGCUGUGAUGAAUGUGGCAAAUGUUUUGCUCAGUGGGGAUAUCUGGAUUCUCAUAUGAGGAUUCACACAAGGGUGAAUUGUGGCAAAGUAUUCACUCGGUCUGAACGCUUCGAACCCUCCUUGACCACUUUGAAGGAUCGCACAGGAGAGAAACUUUAUUGCUGUGUUGAAUGUGGCAAAUAUUUUUCUAACACUGGGUCCCUGAAUUAUCAUAGGAGGUCACACACAGAGAAGAAAUCGCAUCGCUGCCAUGAUUGUGGCAAAUGUUUUUAUAAAUUUAUGGAUCUGAAUAUUCACAGGAGGAUUCACACAGGGGAGAAACCGUAUCGCUGCCAGUUCUGUGGAAAAUGUUAUAAUCAGCAGACUUCUCUAAGUUAUCACAUGAGGAAUCACACAGAGACAUCUUGUAACUGUCAUUAUUGUGGCAAAUAUAUUCGUCAUAAAGGUAAUCUGACAGCGCAUAUGAGGAUUCACACGAGGAAAAUCAGAUAAUUGUUGUUAUAGUAGCAGAUCUUUUAAACACUGGCGGUCACAAGUGCAUAUGAGGAUAAUCAGAUGAGCAAUAAACUAUUUUGCUGUCAGGAUUGUUGUAAAUGGUUCACUCAUUACAAUCUGAAUCGUCUGGGGAGACGAAGGGGAGGAACCACAUUAAUACCAUAACUGACAAAUCUUUCACAACUGCCUUUCAUAUGAGACAUUCACACAGGGGAGGAAUCUUCCAAGUUUUCUGUAGAAAAUGCUUCAGUGCCAGAAGUGCAUUGAAUAGUCAUCAGAGAACACACAGCGAAGAACAACCUUCAAAGCCUAAAGGGUCACCUGAGGACACACUUGAUUGACCUUUACUCUGGUAGCCCUGAAGUCUGAUCUCUAUUCAAAUCAAAUUUGAUUGGUCACAUACACAUAUUUAGCAGCUGUUCUUGCGGUUGUAGCAAAAUGCUUGUGUUCCUAGCUCCAACAGUGCAGUAGUAUCUAACAAUUCAAAAAAAUGCCUUGGGGGUGUGGAAGAAACAAAAGAUCCAAUUCGGGAAAGUUGUAUUACUGUUCGUAAUCCUGAUGAGGGAGUACAGGCUGAGGCUGUUGAAGAGGUGGCUGCAGAACCUAAAGCUAAAGUUAUAUUGACAAUUCACUGUGAAUGAUGUAAAGUCAAAACUAUCACCGUUACUGCUUCUACUAUUACUUGUUCUACUAUUGCUGAUGUGGUACGUGCUGCAAUACAUGGCCACAUAAUGAAAGACAAGUGUAAUUUGGAUCGGUCAACAGGUAGGGGAAAAAAACACCAAAGACUAAAUAAACAUUCAUAUUUUACAUUAUGAGAUCAAACGUUGUACUUCAGCAAGGUCAUACUCCUGCCAAUGUCAACGCCUUGGUAUUAAGAUGUCAACAAAUGUUUAUAUUUGAUCGUUGUCUUCACAGCACCACGCAGGCUCUGCCCUGACGGAUGGUUCAGCUCCCAGUCCAAGUGUUUCAUGUUUGUGAACACUCCUCUGUCUUGCUGACUAAACUCAACUCCAUGGUGAUGGAAGUUUCUGAUGAACUCCAUCAACUACAUUGAUUCUCCCAAGGUCAAAACUUAAAAAAAAAAUGUGUAGCAGGAAGAUCGGAAUGCUGUGAACCAAGAGGUUGUGAGUUCAAAUUCUAGGUGAGGACAUAAUUAUAAUUACUGUAUAAAUGAACAUCCACAAUGUAAUCAUGUGUGUCAAAUGUGUGAGUUGAAAACAUUGUAUGUUAAAAGCACUGUGUGUGUGGGUGUCCCUAACCUUGCCAAUUAGGGCCUUGAUUGGCUCGGCCACAGUAACAAUGGGUGGUGUGUAAAUACAUGUUUUUUUUUGAGGGGACAACAUUUCUUUGGAACCAUCAGGUGGCAACCAACAUGGCAACCAUGUUCUGUGUGAUGUUGAUGGAAUAUUCUCCUAACCCUCAGAAAACUGGAUACGUGAAUGCUCUUGCAACGUUCCCAGGAAACGUGUCUAGAACAUUACUAUUGAAUAUUCUGAGAACAUGGUAACCACAUUCUGGGUAAGUUCUGUUUGAAUGGUCUCUUGGAAACAGUCCUUGCACGUCACUGGAACAUUCUAUGAAAACGUUAAGGGAAUGCACUCUAAAGUUGUGGGAACGUUUGUUAGCUGGGUAUUUCCUUGUUGAGAUUCAAUUGGCACAUGCAUUUGCUCUGAGUUGCCAUCUUAGAGCAACAGCAAUGAGCAAACAGUUGGUUGUAUUUGACUACCGUUUAUUGAAAAAGUAUAGAUUUCAGGAAACGAAGAAGUACAGAGGACAAACAUGGGUACAAGGCAAGUGUUUCAUAAUUUACAUUUUUUUUUUUAAAGUAUUGACCUCAGGCUAAUCGACGUAGUCGGAUCUGAAUUCCACAAAGCCUGGUCUCUGCUCAACUCCGUUGUUGGAGUUCAUCAGAAACUUCAUUCACCAUGGAGUUGAGUUUAGUCAUCUAUACAGUCGUAUGAAAAAGUUUGGGCACCCCUGACAAUUUCCAAGAUUUCCAUUUAUAAAUAAUUAAGUGUUUGGAUCAGCAAUUUCAUUUUGAUCUAUCAAAUAACUGAUGGACACGGUAAUAUUUCAGUAGUGAAAUUAGGUUUAUUGGAUUAACAGAAAAUGUGCAAUAUGCAUCAAAACAAAAUUAGAUAGGUGCAUAAAUUUGGGCACCCCAAUAGAAAAAUCACAUCAAUAUUUAGUAGAGCCUCCUUUUGCUAAAAUAACAGCCUCUAGACACUUCCCAUAGCCUCUAAUGAGUGUCUGGAUUCUGGAUGAAGGUAUUUUGGACCAUUCCUCCUUACAAAACAUCUCCAGUUAGGUUUGAUGGUUGCCGAGCAUGGACAGCCCGCUCCACAGAUUCUCAAUGAUAUUCAGGUCUGGGGAUUGGGAUGGCCAUUCCAGAACAUUGUACGUGUUCCUCUGCAUAAAUGCCCAGGUAGAUUGAGCAGUGUUGUGGGUCGUUGUCUUGUUGAAAUAUCCAGCGCCGGCGUAACUUCAACUUUGUGAAUGAUUCUUCAACAUUAUUCCAAAGAAUCUGCUGAUAGAGUGGAAUCCAUGUGACCCUCAACUUUAACAAGAUUACCAGUACCGGCACUUGCCACACAGCAUGAUGGAACCCCCACCAAAUUUUACUGUGGGUAGCAAGUGUUUUUCUUGGAACGCUGUGUUCUUUUGCCACCAUGCAUAACGUCCCUUGUUAUGACCAAAUAACUCAAUCUUUGUUUCAUCAGUUCACAGCACCUUAUUCCAAAAUGAAGCUGGCUUGUCCAAAUGUGCUUUUGCAUACCUCAAGCGACUCUGUUUGGGGCGUGUGUGCAGAAAAGGCUUCUUCCGCAUCACUCUCCCAUACAGCUUCUCCUUGUGCAAAGUGCGCUGAAUUGUUGAACGAUGCACAGUGACACCAUCUGCAGCAAGAUGAUGUUGUAGGUCUUUGGAGGUGGUCUGUGGGCUGUUUUUGACCGUUCUCACCAUCCUUCGCCUUUGCCUCCAAAUAUUUUACUUGGCCUGCCACUUCUGGCCUUAACAAGAACUGUGCCUGUGGUCUUCCAUUUCCUCACUAUGUUCCUCACAGUGGACACUGACAGCUUAAAUCUCUGCGAUAGCUUUUUGUAGCCUUCCUCUAAACCAUAAUGUUGAACAAUCUUUGUUUUCAGGUCAUUUGAGAGUUGUUUUGAGGCCCCCAUGUUGCCACUCUUCAGAGGAGAGUCAAAGAGAACAACAACUUGCAAUUGGCCACCUUAAAUACCCUUUCUCGUGAUUGGAUGCACUUGUCUAUGAAGUUCAAGGCUUAAUGAGCUCACCAAACCAAUUGUGUGUUCCAAUUAUUCAGUGCUAAGUAGUUACAGGUAUUCAAAUCAACAGAAUGACAAGGGUGCCCACAUUUUUGCAUAGCCUAUUUUUCACAUCUGAUUUAAUUUCAUACAACUUAAUAUUGCUACAUUAAAAAUAUUUGUCUGGACAAUACCCCAGUACUGUAACGGUAGUCCUCUUCCUCUUCAUCCGAAGAGGAGGAGCAUGGAUUGAACCAAAACGCAGCUUCUGAAGUUGACAUAUUUAUUUAAAGAAAAGACGAAAACACGAACUACACUAUAAACUAACAAAACAACAAACGGAGUAGACAGACCUGGACGACGAACUUACAUUAAACACGAAGAACGCAUGAACAGGAAAAUGCCUACAUAAAACAAACAAACAAACAAACAAAACCGAAACAGUCCCAUGUGGCGUAACAUAACACAUACACUGACACAGGAGACAACCACCCACAAACAAACAGUGUGAAAACACCUACCUUAAUAUGACUCUCAAUCAGAGGAAAUGAAAAACACCUGCCUCUAAUUGAGAGCCAUAUUAGGUACCCAUAACCAACAUAGAAACAGAAAACAUAGACUGCCCACCCAAACUCACAUCCUGACCAACUAACACAUACAAAACUAACAGAAAACAGGUCAGGAACGUGACAAGUACUCAGCUUUUAUUAGAAAAUGAAUGGCAUGCCACUGUGAUCAUUUUCUGUGACGACAGAGUAAAUUAUUAUGCAGCCUCAGAGGGGUGCCCAAACUUUUUCAUACGACUGUAUAAUGCACUUCCCAAUUGAAUUAGUGUCUGAUCGCUUGACAUAAUUUGCUAUGAUAUUAAUAAAUUCGUGGACUUUCAAAAUGUCUGUUUGUUUUUGUUGUUGGUAUUUACUGAAAUAUGCACUGAGGGUGCUCAACCUUUUUUUCAUGUGCAGGCCUAGUGUGUGUGUGUGUGUGUGUGUGCACACGUGUCUCAUCUCCCCCCUCUCCUUUCAGUAAAACUGCAACGAACUGUACUCCAGCCUGGCCUUCUCUGGCUCCUCGUCUGAAUAUUGUUACCUGCAACAGAUAACAAGAACAGCCAACAGAGCCACCGCCUGGAUCGCUGGAUUCGACCUCGAGUGGUCCAGGGCUGGAGGAACCUCGCAUGUGGCACACAAUACCCAUUGUGCAUGUUAGACCAUAAAAUGCUUCACAAUGUUGACUAUCUGGUUAGCAACACACAAUUCAGUGCAUGAAGAUUUCUAACGGCUUUGAACAUUUGCAUUAUUUUACUGUAUAAUACUUUAAAUAAGUGUUCACCAACAGGUUAAAUAUGUUGUAAUUUCUAAUAAAAAUCGAUUUCUAUAUA